CUGAAUUGGGACAGAGUCACUAAGUUUGUCGUUUUUAGGAGUGUUACACUUCCCUUUGUCAGGCCUGUGAUGCGUCUUAAUAUCUGCUGGUGGAUAGGAAGUAUUUUUUGUUGUGGCACAAAUCACUUGUGUGCUAUCUUAUUGUAUAUGUACCAGAUUGUUGUGGAAACACUUUAAAGUGUUUGUACAGAUAAUACCUGAGUUUGUGUUUGCUAUAUUUCAUGCAAAGCUUGUAUAUAGAUUUGGUGUUUUGAAAGAUUUUAGACAUGAACAGUUUAUCUAAGUUCUAAAAACUAUUCAUUAAACAUGUUUGUGGUUUUCACAGUAAAAAUCAUAAUUUUCUACUGUCAGCUGGGAAGACUUCAGUGAGCCUCCAAACAUGGCUGCUGGUCCAUGGUCUGUGGUCUGUGACAUCACAGCGAGGCCACGAAGGCUGUCCAGAAUCCCAGGCUCCCACAACCGUGUCCUCCUUCUCCCUGGAUUUGAAGGACAGG